AGUGAACGCUGGCGGUAGGCCUAACACAUGCAAGUCGAACGGCAGCACAGUAAGAGCUUGCUCUUACGGGUGGCGAGUGGCGGACGGGUGAGGAAUACAUCGGAAUCUACUUUUUCGUGGGGGAUAACGUAGGGAAACUUACGCUAAUACCGCAUACGACCUACGGGUGAAAGCAGGGGAUCUUCGGACCUUGCGCGAUUGAAUGAGCCGAUGUCGGAUUAGCUAGUUGGCGGGGUAAAGGCCCACCAAGGCGACGAUCCGUAGCUGGUCUGAGAGGAUGAUCAGCCACACGGAAACGAGAACACGGUCCAAACUCCUACGGGGGGCAGCAGUGGGGAAUUUGGGACAAGGGGGGCAGGCCUAAUCCGGCCAUACCGGGUGGGUGAAGAGGGCCUUCGGUUGGUAAAGCCCUUUUGUUGGGAAAAAAAACCGGCGGUUUAAAACCCCGCUGUUCUGACGGUACCCAAAGAUUAAGCACCGGCUAACUUGGU
rnacentral:rRNA from 1 species